AUAAUUAAUAAUUUGUCUUCAAAAUAUUUCAAAUUAUCAUUAACACUUUUUUGAGUGCCAAGAAUUGCUAAGUAACUAUGUAACAUAUAUGAAGAUAGUCAUCCCCCAGCAAUCAAGCAGUCAUUGUAAGCCAAAAUGUAGUGUACUUGGUAUGUAACUACUCCAGACAGUACACUCAACACUUAAAAUUUCAUGUAAACCCUCUCAGAAAUUGAUUAGAAUACGAUUUCCAUUAGUGAAUUUUUUUCAUUUUGCUCUCGUCAAUUUUUUUUUUCAUUUUAUAUUUAUACCAUUUCACUCUGGAAAAUACUGAAAACCCAAUUCUGGCACAUUGUAGUGAUUUCAGUUAGUAAAGGUUUUUAUUUUAAUAACUAAGAUGUCUAUCCUAUGCAUAAGUUAUAUCAGAGGGCAUAACAAUUAUUAGACAAAUAGAAAUUAAUUAAUCUCCUUAGACAUUGUGAAUGAGAAAAAAAAAAAAAAACAUUUUUAAAGGAACUACAUUUGUUUUUUGUUUUUUUUUUUGCCAAACCGGUACAAGCUAGAAAAUGCACUAAGGACUGAGUGACCUGCCUUGUUCAUUUUGCCACUGGAUGAUGAGAUGAGCGCUAAAGCAGACUCCAAGAUUAACAUAAAACUCUUGAGGUAAUAAGGAAUGUGGUAUUAGCUAAACAGAAGCUGGCAUGCUCUCUGCCACAUAAGACAUACUGCAUGUGUAAGGGGGGGAAAAACGUGAAAACUGGAAGUGUGAUUCCAAUAACGCACAAAGUAAAUUUUGUGCAUAGAAAAUACGGGAAUUCCUGGUAGCUUAAAGCUUCAGGGGUUAACUGCAGUGUAUGAACACCUAGUGUGUUAGAAUUGCAGUGCAUAGUUGUUUGAAUACAAUAUUCCUUGUAAGUGACAACCAAAAUAUGUUGUGGCUCGUGCCAAUAUUUUUGUUAAUGAAAUGUUCAAUGUCUCACUACAGUCUGAUCAGAACUCUUGGUGUUAUAAAAUAGGCCUAAAAGCUAUUUUAUGGCUACUGGCCUAAUUGUGUAACUUUUUUCUUUCAAAAUGUUUUAUUAUAAUACUUCUGUCAUUUCUUUCACUUAAUAUAUGUCAAUUGUCAUAAUAAAAAAUUAAAUAAUUUGAUGUAUUUAGCAUGAUGUGUUUGCAAAUUUAGUUUAUUUUAAACUUUGUAGCACAUAGAAAGCUAAGAAUUUUCUGUAACUGUUGAUGAAGGUUGAAAGUUUUUAUCACCCCAGAAUAGAUGAACUGUUCUCUUACUAUCUAGAAAGUAAGUUUGCAAGUGCAUCAAUUUUCCCCAAACAAUUGUUAUAGCUGUUUGCCAAGGAUGUGAAUUGGAGAAGGAAAUG
ensembl:lncRNA